UACAGAGGUCCCAAGCGUUGUUCGGAUUUACUGGGCGUAAAGGGCGCGUAGGCGGCCUGUGCAAGUCAGUUGUGAAAUCUCCGAGCUUAACUCGGAACGGUCAACUGAUACUGCUCGGCUAGAGUGCGGAAGGGGCAACUGGAAUUCUUGGUGUAGCGGUGAAAUGCGUAGAUAUCAAGAGGAACACCUGCGGCGAAGGCGGGUUGCUGGGCCGACACUGACGCUGAGGCGCGAAAGCUAGGGGAGCGAACGGG
rnacentral:rRNA from 1 species